AAAAAACCUUGACUUCAUACACUAUAUCCACACUUUAACCUCAUAUCCUAAAUUUAAACUCAAAAUUUAAUCUUAUAUCCAAACUUUAAUCUCAUAUCUUAAAUUUAACCCUAAUAAUUCAUACUUUAACCUCAUAUCUUAAAUUUAAACUCAAAAUUUUUCUUUUUAUUUUAAACUAUAAAUCCCAUUCUCCGAAUUUUAAACCCUCUAUCAUAAACAUAACUUUAAAGUUUUAAUUUUAAUAUUUUAAUUUUCAUAUUAGAAAAAUUCAAAAGCUUGAUAUAUAAAUUUUACAUCAUCUAACAUAUAAAUUAAAUAGAACUGUAAAUCAAAAUUUUAUAUAACUUUACCAAAGAUAAAAAAAUCAAUUAACAAAGAAAAUUGUUAUGGACCAAUGAUAUCAAAGUACUCAGAUCACAACCUCCACCAUUGGAUUAGAUUAAUCCAACAGACCACAUCAAAUCCCUCUUUAUCUUUCUCUUUCCUCUCCAUUUUCUUCGUCUACGACAUUCACUCUCUUCACUCACGAAUCUGCUCACUUCUUCUUCUUUCUUUUCUCUUUAUCUCUUUGGUUCACUCAUGUCUCUGCACAUCUCUCUCUAUCUCUAUCAAAAUUUUCUUUUAAUUUCAUCUCCUCUUCACCACCACCACCGGCGGCCUUCAUGUUCGUCACCACCACGCUCUUUUGAUUUCGUCGCGUUCUUCACCACCGUCACGCUCAUCACCAACACCACAGAUCUGAGAAGGAGAAGUAGUGGUGUGACAGAGCGGCAUCUCCGGUUAAGCGUGGUGCGGCAGCGGUGCAAAGCCGGUAGCUUGUUGCUGGUUCGUGGACGGUGGCUGAAGCUUUGUGAAGGUGGCGAUGGUGGCUGAAGCUUUGUGAAGAUGGCGAUGGUGGCUGAAGCGUCUAUUAGGUUUAGAUUUAGGUUUAGUUAAUCAAUUGGUUUAGUUAGGUUUACAUUAAUUAAUUGGUUUAAUUAGGAUUAGAUUAAUAUAUUUAUGUAUUAUUGGUUAAGUUUUGUAAACCGGGAUUAAUUUGUAAACCAAUUUUAAUAUAUAAAUAAUAUUUAUUUUAAUUUCAA